CGAGACCGAUAGCGAAAAGUACCGUGAGGGAAAGUUGAAAAGAACUUUGAAGAGAGAGUUCAAUAGUACGUGAAACCGUUCAGGGGUAAACCUGAGAAACCCAAAAGAUCGAAUGGGGAGAUUCAUCGUCAGCCGGCUUGGCUUCCGUGCGGUUCGCGAUGAUCGGGGCUUCGGCUCUCGCGUCACGCAAUCGCUGCGGUAUGUCCGAGUCGCGCCGGCGUGCACUUCUUCCCUAGUAGGACGUCGCGAUUCGUUGGGUGUCGGUUUACGGACCGGUAGGUAGCCUGGCGAGUUUUGCGUUCACGCGUAUUUACUUGCCAGACCUCCGGAUUUUCCUAACCGGCUGCCCGGCGAUAUAAAACGAUAAUCCAAUGGCAUUGAGCCGCGUUGAACGCGUUUACGGCUCGUCGGCAGAUUCGUCUCGCUUGGAUUUACGAACCUAGUUUCGUUGCCGGGCGCUUGACGGGUCGUUCGCCGGCGAUGUCCUCGAACUGGCUCUAAAUAUUCUUACGGAAUAUGCCGAUCGGCGACGCUACUGCUUUGGGUACUUUCAGGACCCGUCUUGAA
rnacentral:rRNA from 1 species